CAGCACAAUAAGUCAAAUAAAAUUCAUUUAAAAAUCUCAACAAUAGACUAGGUCAAACAAAAGGAAAGAUAUCACAGUUUGAAGGCAGGUAUUUUGAAAUAUGAUAUUGGGACAGAGAAAGAGGGGUAAAAAGAGAAAGAAUAAAGAUAGAAUUCAAGAUCUUUGCAACUACAUUAAAUGAACCAUUGUUUACAUUAUUGGCAUGGGUCAAGGGGAGGAAAUAAAAGUCAAGUGCAUAGCAAGCCAAUUAAAUGAAAUGAUAAGAGAAUAACAGGACAUUUCUCUUAUCUUGGGAAAAAUCUAGACAUCCAUAUUCCGAUGCUUAUAGAACCCCAAAUAGAGAUUCCCAGAAAAUGUCUUCAUCAUAACAUAUAUAGUCAAACUGAAAAUUACAAUACAAAGAAUUUUAAAAUCUGCAAGUGAAAAGCACAAUUUCAUAUUAAAAGGCAAUCCCAUCAGAAAAUAGCCCAUUUCUCAGCAGAAACCCUACAGAACUCUGCAUCCAUUGGCUGCAGAAUAAAUCUUCUUUAAAUUAGCACAUGGAACUUUCUCUGGAAUAGACCAUAUAUUAGGAAAAAAAACAAGGCUUAAUACAUUAAAAAAUUGAAAUUACGUACUAUUUUUUUUCUGACCAUAAGAGAAUGAAACUAGAUGUCAAUAACAAGAGAAACUUCAGAAAUUAUACAAAUAUAUGAAGAAUUAACAACACAUUUUUGAAGGAAGAGUGGAUCAUUGAGGAAGUCAGAAGGGAAAUUUAAAACUUUCUUCAAAGAAAUGAAAGUGGAAACAUAACAUGCUCAAACUUGUGGGGUGCAGCCAAGAAAGAAGUUUAUAGUAGUAAUUGCCUACAUCAAAAAACAGACGGAAGCCAAAACAACCUGGGUUAAAUUUCAAGAAAUUAGAAAAACAAGAUGAAAUAAAAUCCAAAAUUUAUAUAAGAGAAACACUAAAGAUAUAACAAGUAAUAUAGAUUGUAAAUAGAAGGAAAGAAAUAAUAAAG
rnacentral:lncRNA from 1 species